CAUGUUCUCGCGUCAGCUCCCGCUUCCAAAGUUCAGAAACGCAAACUUCCCCAAAUUCAAGCUAGGUAUCCUUUGGUUGACUUCGCUUCCUCUUCACCACCGCCUCCGUCCGACACCACCACCGGCGACCACCAUCGCCUACCCUCUCUCUCUUCCUUCUUCUCUUUCUUCCCCAUUUCUCCAUUUCUUCGUUCCUGCGUGCGACACCCCUGUUCGUGGAGUCACCCUCUGUCCGCGUCUUCAAGCACCGACAAGCAACCACCAGCGGCGGCGACCUUCUGUGCCACCGCGACAUCACCACCACCCCACCGCCUCUCCUUUCUUCUUCAUCCUUUCAUCAAUGCAGGUUCCCUUCCCCUGUUCCCUGUCUUUCUUUUCUUUAUUUUCACUGCUUUUUAAUUCUGUUUUUAGAAAUUUUGGUUAGGCUUAGGUUUGUUAAAACUUGUGUUUUUGGACUGAAAUUGUUGUUGGUUGUAUCUUUCUGAAAUUACUGGGUUGAAUGCUGCUUAGAUUGAACUGAAAUUUACUGUUUUGAACUCUGCACACCACAUGUUCG